GUGAACGCUGGCGGUAGGCCUAACACAUGCCAGUCGAACGGCAGCACAGUAAGAGCUUGCUCUUACGGGUGGCGAGUGGCGGACGGGUGAGGAAUACAUCGGAAUCUACUUUUUCGUGGGGGAUAACGUAGGGAAACUUACGCUAAUACCGCAUACGACCUACGGGUGAAAGAAGGGGAUCUUCGGACCUUGCGCGAUUGAAUGAGCCGAUGUCGGAUUAGCUAGUUGGCGGGGUAAAGGCCCACCACGGCGACGAUCCGUAGCUGGUCUGAGAGGAUGAUCAGCCACACUGGAACUGAGACACGGUCCAGACUCCUACGGGAGGCAGCAGUGGGGAAUAGUGGACAAUGGGCGCAAGCCUGAUCCAGCCAUACCGCGUGGGUGAAGAAGGCCUUCGGGUUGUAAAGCCCUUUUGUUGGGAAAGAAAAGCAGCAGGUUAAUACCCCGCUGUUCUGACGGUGCCCAAAGAAGAAGCACCGGCUAACUUCGUG
rnacentral:rRNA from 1 species